AGCAUGUGGUUUAAUUCGAAGCAACGCGAAGAACCUUACCAGGUCUUGACAUCCCGAUGCUAUUUCUAGAGAUAGAAAGUUACUUCGGUACAUCGGUGACAGGUGGUGCAUGGUUGUCGUCAGCUCGUGUCGUGAGAUGUUGGGUUAAGUCCCGCAACGAGCGCAACCCCUAUUGUUAGUUGCCAUCAUUCAGUUGGGCACUCUAGCGAGACUGCCGGUAAUAAACCGGAGGAAGUGGGGAUGACGUCAAAUCAUCAUGCCCCUUAUGACCUGGGCUACACACGUGCUACAAUGGUUGGUACAACGAGUUGCGAGUCGGUGACGGCGAGCUAAUCUCUUAAAGCCAAUCUCAGUUCGGAUUGUAGGCUGCAACUCGCCUACAUGAAGUCGGAAUCGCUAGUAAUCGCGGAUCAGCACGCCGCGGUGAAUACGUUCCCGGGCCUU
rnacentral:rRNA from 1 species